GGCCAGACUCCUACGGGAGGCAGCAGUGAGGCCUCUUGGUCAAUGGGCUUCCGCCUGACCCCGCCAUGCCGCGUGCCGGUCAGUGCCCUCUGGGCGUUAACCUUCUUUUGUGCGGGCGCCCUAAUGGUCCCGUGUGGCCAGACGCGCGUACCGUACGCAUAAGCAUCGGCUACCUCCGUGCCAGCCGCCGCGGUAAUACGGGGGCUGCAAGCGUUAUCCGGAUUUAUUGGGUUUAAAGGGUGCGGAGGCUGUGAGGGAAGGCAGCGGUGAAAUGCCCCCGCUCAACGGGGUGAAGUGCCAUUGAUACUGCCUUGCUGGAAUGCGGAUGCCGUGGGAGGAAUGUGUGGUGUAGCGGUGAAAUGCAGAGAUAUCGCGCAGAACUCCGAUUGCGAAGGCAGCAUGCCGGCGCCACACUGACGCUGAGGCACGAAAGCGUGGGUAUCGAACAGGAUUAGAUACCCCAGUA
rnacentral:rRNA from 1 species